GGAAGGAGGUGGCAGAGGCAGCUGAUAGGACAGGGCUGGGGGAUGGUUGUCAGCUACAGGGCCACCUUCCCUUGUGAGGCACUGGGGUGUCCCACUGGGGUUGCCAUAUUUCAAAAAGUCAAAAGUUGUUGUUGUUGUUUUUUUAGCAAAACCCCAUAGCUGUAGAACUUUUUUUUUUUAAUGAAAAGGCCAAUGGCAGCCCUUUGUCCCACCCCUGUAGUAGGACUUUGAUAAGAGUAGAGGCAGGGAAAUCAAGGAGAAGACUCUUGGAAUGGUCUUGCAAGAGACUCACCUGUCUCCAUGUCCUUCUCUUGUUGCAGUUGUGCCACAGAUCUUCCAAGUCUCCCCAGCACCUGAGGCGAGUAUUGGAGAAAACAAGAGUAGGGACUGGAUCCCUCAGACCUGCCCCCUGCUGCUCGAGGUCUUUGCCCCCAGUUCUGCAGUCUCUAAUGGGGAGACGCCCUCUCACUUUGAACAGACAGCCUGACUUGGGCCAUUUCAGCAACUGGAGCAAGAAAAGCUCAUCUUGGUCCCGAUAAUAGGGACCUGUCUGGAGGCUGCACAGAGGGGCUUCUGGAGGAUCUUGAAAGCAGCGGGCUGCUCAGUGGCUGAAUUAAUUAGCAAAGUAAUUUCUCCUCCCUCACUCAUAAUAUGUCCAUGACUUAAAUCCAAUUUUUCAUCUUAAGAAACGGAAGUUUGUUGCUCACAGAGGCGACUUUGGAGAGUUGCCAAGAAAUGCACGGUGCUUUCCAUCCAGUGCCCCCUGAUUCCUUCCGGAUUUGGGGCCAGGUGUUGGGCGAACUGCAGAUGAGACUGCCACCCCCAACCCUGGGGAGUUGGGAGACUGAUUAUUCCCAUCUCAGCCUCUAAUUACCUGUGCAAAUGGCUGCAAUGGAAUUCCAGCCUCUUCCAUGGCACCAAACCAGUAUUGUAUUUGAUGCAACCUGAAAUCUGUCCUGCAUAGUUAAGUUUGCACAACACCAUCUUAAGACUGUUAGAAGGCUGUAUGGGUUUCACUUUAUUUGUAAGAAAUCAAUCUUUUAGUGUUGCAGCACCCACAUUUUGGGACGCCUGCCUAUUGAUGCCACUUUAAUAACUAAAAGUAUACUCCCUAUUCAAGUAUUUUUCUUUGGCGUUAAAUCAAUGAAUGAGAGGAGAGAGCAAGGGAGAGUAGGCUGUCUUUGCUCUGCCAGCAUCCCCGCCAUCUUCUAUGAGUUGGAAGGACAACCUCUGCAGCAGAGAUCCUGGUCUUCCCACAAAGGCUCCCCGUGCUACUCAGACCCUGGGAAAUUGGGAUUCUGCCUCGUGCUGCAGAGCAUAUGGUGACAGGGCCAGAGCUAAUACACUCAUCCCCACCUCCCAGCCCAAUUGCCUUAAUAGGGUCAGCAGUAACCAGCUCCACUCCUUCAGACAUGGACUGGUUCUGUUUACCAAUCUGAGCCACCUGGAUUUUAUGUGCUUCUCUCUAGCAGGGAAAGAAAUGGAAGCCGUCAGUGCAACGGUGAACUACAGAAAUAUUCUGUACCUGUUUUCAAUUACUGUGCUAUCAGCCGUUUGUUAUAAUAGAGAAAAGGGGUUUUGCUUUACAAAGCUUCCUGCAUAGAAGCCUGUCUGAGGAAACCCAGCUUUCCUUGUCAAAGCUAAAUUACUGUUCAAGAUGACAGCAAGAAAAGCAAGACAAAAAAGAUUUAAAGUAGCUCUGUAGUAUAUGGGAUAUUGGCAGGUGUUAGGUUAUUAAAUACCAACUAUGAAUCCUGUAAGAUCUUGUGGAAUUCUAAUGGAGGCCACGCAGAGUUUCCCCUUUUGGCCAAAGUGGAGAUUUUUCUUUCUAUUUUACAUACAUUAAAAAUACUCCCCCCCCCCCCCCCGCCGCCUGUUUUCAUACUGGGCUUCCUUUUCUUCACCCCACUGAUGCACUGUCUGGGUUUGCAUCUGUUUUUCCUUUGCCUCUUUCUCGCUUCCUUCACUAUUUACUUUUGUAAGCCAACUGAUGUUUUCAUUCAAUUCCCCUGGGAUUUCACCCUGCGUUUUACUGUUUUCAAAAUCUCUCAAACUGUCCCAAUCUUGGAGUUACCUUCCAUCCCAUAGCACUAUCUGGGACCUGUUUCCAAUUAGGUAUGUUUUGUCUUGUUUACUGAUUUUUUCUUCUCCUAUAUGCAGCUACAGUUGCUUUUUCAGCUGGGGUGGAGCUGACAGAAGCCAGAAAAGGACACACUUUUCUUUCCAUUGGUAUUUUCUCAGGCCAACUGCUUAUUUGUCUUUGCCCAUGCAAUAAUGUCAGCAGCCACUUAUGAUAAUGGAAUGUUUACUCUUGAAUGCCUACAGUUUUGGGGGUACAUUGCACUUUUAAUACUACUUCCCCAAUCAAGUCACAUUAUAUACAUUACAGGGAAGAAAAUACAAGUUCUUCAUUUAAGCCCUCACUUGCAGAAUGUUUGGGACGGCUAGCGAUGCAAGGAUCUGUCAGCUUCUCUCUGUUCUCUCAGUUCCUCAUUUUUUCAAUUCAGUUCUCCACAUUUCUGCAGCAAUCUGUGAUCUUAAAAAAAAUCCUAAUGAAACAUUUUUAGCAUUUUUGUUCAAAUUUAUCUGAAUAAACAAAAUUUUGCAUGCAGCUUUGAUAAUAAUAAUUAUUAUUAUUUAUUGGUAUCCUGCCCAUCUGGCUGGGUUUCCCCAACCACUCUGGGCAGCUUCCAACAAAGAUUAAAAAUACAUUAAAAUGUCACACACUAAAAACUUCCCUAAGCAGGGCUUCCUCCAGACUAAUACCUGAAGGAACGUCUCCACCCCAUCAUCCAGCCCACACAUUGAGGUCCAGCUCCGAGGGCCUUCUGGCAGUUCCCUCAUUGCAAGAUGUGCAACCAGGCAGAGGGUUCAGAAGUGAUGCCCAUCCCAUCAGAUGUCAAGGAGAUAAACAACUACUGUAUAUGACUUUUAGAAGACCCUUCAUAUGUCUUCUAUCGGGAAGUUUUUAAUGUUUGAUGCUGUAUUGUGUUUUUACUAUUUUUUAUUGGGAGCUGCCCAGAGUGACUGGGGCAACCCAGUCAGAUGGGCGGGUACACAUAGGGAAUUCAUUCCUACACAAAGUAGUGAUGGCCAUGAACCUUGAUGGAUUUUAAAGAGGACCAGGCGGAGGCUGUCAGGGGCAGCUGCCUAUGGAAACUGUCUGAUCCCUUCCCGGGUGGGAGGUGGUGUGCUUCUGAAAGCCAGCUGCCGGGAAUGAAAGUGGCAGUCAUGCUGCUGUGCUCAGGUCCUGCUUGUGGGCUCCCCAGGGGCACCAGGCUGGUCACUGUGAGAACAGGAGGCUGGACUGGAUGGGGCCCCUGGCCUGACGCAGCAAGGCUCUUCUUCCACUAUUAUUUGCGCAUCGGUGGAUAUAUAUAUAUUUUAACUGCAAAAUGCUGAAGAAUGCGGAGAACUAAAUUUUAGAUUGGGAAAUUGAGAAAACUAUCCUACCUUUCCAGCAAAGAUAAAAGGUAAAGGGACCCCUGACCAUUAGGUCCAGUUGUGACUGACUCUGGGGUUGCGGCGCUCAUCUCGCUUUAUUGGCCGAGGGAGCCGGCGUACAGCUUCCGGGUCACGUGGCCAGCAUGACUAAGCCGCUUCUGGGGAUUCGAACCGCCGACCUUCUGAUCGGCAAGUCCUAGGCUCUGUGGUUUAACCCACAGCGCCACCCGCGUCCCUCUCCACCAAAGAAACUCAGUGCAAUCUAUCAGUAGGGACCUCCAUUCACACAACACAUUUGAAUAACGUAGUCCAAUGGAGGUGAAAUAUACUCGGAGUCGAGUGUGGAUUUCAUGCUCUUUAUUCAGCUCAUAGUAGCGAGGAAUGAAAGUUUCCCCAAAAUAUCUGCUUUAUAUACAUUAUUUACACAAUGGGUUAAUUCCCAGAUUCUUCUCUAGGCCAAUCAGAUUGUGGAUUCACUUCCACCUGGAGCUGGAUUGGGUGGCUCCUGCGGGCUAAUCAUACUGCUGCAUUGUUCUAGGACCAAUCAGACUGCUGCAUUCUGAAUCCUAUUGUUCCAGGACCAAUCAGACUGCUGCAUUUUGGAUCCUCUUCAACUCAGUAAAUAACAGGAGGGCACAAGUCUUAAGCCUUUGUUUAGUGGAGUUGGGGCUUUGGAAAAGUUCUCGCCUUGGCAGAUCUAGUGUUUGCAAUCACACAAAACCAUUCCGCCAUCCUCCUCAAUUUCUCCCUUCAGUCAAGCCAUUCUGAAAAAAUGGCAGCAAAACAUUGAGAACUCAAGGUACUGUGAACUUACGCUAGGGAGCGUUGGGGGUUCCAAAGGCUUGUGAGUUUAUUUAGUCCCGUAUCUACUGCUCUGUCCCUCUCCCCUCUCCCUCACGCUUGAGUAUUAGGACAGGAUUAAAAGCAAACAUGUUUUGGGGUGCCAGAGCAGUGAGCAUAGCAAUGCUCAGGAGCUCCCAUUGAAUGCUGCCUCAGCAAAAGAGGAGAGCAUAGGACAUAGGACAAUAGAUGCCCCAUCCCAGUAAUCUCCCACCCACUUUAAAUUCAGGUUGCUGGAAGCACCUCUCCAGCCCAAUACAUUUUGGCAUCUGAGGUGAACCACAAAAUGGCACCCCCUCUCAGGAAGAAAGGCUGG
rnacentral:lncRNA from 1 species